ensembl:lincRNA
AUGAUAAAUGGAAAGAGCUUAAAUGAGAAGUGGAAAAAGACUAUGCAGAAGCAAGAAGAUGAUGGAAAAAACGACUGCAAGUCCUGUCAGUUCCCUGGGCAGGGGCGUGUUUUAGUCAUGGCGAAAGACCUUGACUGUGCCCAUGUGUAUUUACGUGUGUGCCACUUCAUAGUGGAUGUGACAGAAGAGCAGCAGCCAGGCUGGUUAGGCUGCAAUCUGGAAAGUUGGAGGAAAAAACCCUAUGUUUUGCAGCUCUCCAAUCCAUGCUUCAGUGGGAAGAACAGCCUGUUUGCUGUUACAGACUGCUUGUCCUUGGCUCAUGCUGAUGGCAACGAGACGUUGAUUUUCAGGUUAAUUGGAAAGAGUUUCGUUUAUUUGAAUGGAAUCUUAUCAAAAUGCAUCCUGAAAGUACAUCCUGGGCCAAACCUCCCCUCUUUUGAGGUGAAGGUAAAAGAGAUGAUGUUUUCAGAAAUUUCCUUGAGUUAAAAACUAGACUGUAUAUUCACAAUUACAUCUUUGUUUGGAAAAAAGACUCAGUGCACAGUGACCUUGUAGGUCUAUCUUUGUGAGCAAAGAGUUUAUCCAGAAGAGCAAGGAAGGAAGCAAAGGAGGAAAGAAAGAAGAAAGAAAGGAUGAGAAGGAGAAUGACUGCAAGAAUGACGCUAAAGACGAAAUGUGGCAGCUGCAUUUCUAGAAGAUUCUAUCUCCUCUUAGGACUGGCCACCACUCCCACUCCAGACUCUGAAACGCCCUCUUGGUUCCGUGUGUUCUGUCUGCUUCUCUCCUCAUGCUGACUGCCAGGUUUGGAAAAUCACACCUUAGUUCCAAGUCAUGCUUCUUAUCCAGGUCCCCAGAUCAGCCCCCCUCUUCAUCUCCAGGUAGGUGCGUGGCAUCCGCAGCAGGUGGGUCCCACCGCAGUGUGGGAGCAGCCGUGUGACAUGGUUCAGUUAUGCGCUUACUCUCCUUCCACGAUACAAGUUCUUUAAGGUGGUCUGUCAGCUGCCAAAACUGUCGAGAGAAGAGCCAGGCAGUAUUGUCCCUACCCCGCCUCACAUGAAGAAAACAUAAUCUUGUCUCUCUUUACCCUGCCAAGUCUCGGUAUGUAUUUGGCACAUUUAAUAUGUUUACUAUCAGUUAUAACAUGAAUGAUUCUGGAUUUCCUACUUCACACACACACACAGCACAAAUACACCAAGAA